rnacentral:rRNA from 1 species
CGGCAGGCCUAACACAUGCAAGUCGAGCGGAAACGACACUAWCRAUCCUUCGGGUGCGUUAAUGGGCGUCGAGCGGCGGACGGGUGAGUAAUGCCUAGGAAAUUGCCUUGAUGUGGGGGAUAACCAUUGGAAACGAUGGCUAAUACCGCAUAAUGCCUACGGGCCAAAGAGGGGGAUCUUCGGRCCUCUCGCGUCAAGAUAUGCCUAGGUGGGAUUAGCUAGUUGGUGAGGUAAUGGCUCACCAAGGCGACGAUCCCUAGCUGGUCUGAGAGGAUGAUCAGCCACACUGGAACUGAGACACGGUCCAGACUCCUACGGGAGGCAGCAGUGGGGAAUAUUGCACAAUGGGCGAAAGCCUGAUGCAGCCAUGCCGCGUGUAUGAAGAAGGCCUUCGGGUUGUAAAGUACUUUCAGUUGUGAGGAAGGGGGURWCGUUAAUAGCGUU